rnacentral:rRNA from 1 species
GUGAGGAAUUUUCCGCAAUGGGCGAAAGCCUGACGGAGCAAUGCCGCGUGAAGGAUGAAGGCCUAUGGGUUGUAAACUUCUUUUCUUAGAGAUGAAUAUUGACGGUAUCUGAGGAAUAAGCAUCGGCUAACUCUGUGCCAGCAGCCGCGGUAAGACAGAGGAUGCAAGCGUUAUCCGGAAUGAUUGGGCGUAAAGCGUCUGUAGGUGGCUUCAAAAGUCUCCUGUCAAAGAUCAGGGCUUAACCCUGGGCCGGCAGGAGAAACUCUGAGGCUAGAGUUUGGUAGGGGCAGAGGGAAUUCCCGGUGGAGCGGUGAAAUGCGUAGAGAUCGGGAGGAACACCAAAGGCGAAAGCACUCUGCUGGGCCACAACUGACACUGAGAGACGAAAGCGAGGGGAGCAAACAGGAUUAGAAACCCCGGUAGUCC